GGGGGGUUUUGGGGGGGCACGCUGAGCCCCGUGUGUGCCCCCAGGUGCCUUUGAGAUUGAAAUCAACGGGCAGCUGGUGUUCUCCAAGCUGGAGAACGGGGGCUUUCCCUACGAGAAGGACCUGAUCGAGGCCAUCCGCAGAGCCCGCAAUGGGGAGCCCCUGGAGAAAAUCACCAACAGCCGCCCCCCCUGCGUCAUCCUGUAGCCCCCCCAGGGCCAGCAGGCUCCCCCCACGCCUCCCUUAAAUCCCUGCACCCCAGGAGCCUCCUGGGGACCCCCACGGGUGGCACUGGGGGUCAUGCUGUGGGGUGGGGUGGAAUGGGGGGGGUCUCCCACCUGCCUUUGCCUUCCCCCCCUCAUCAGCUGCAGCUCCCUGAGGGGCACGGGGGUGGCACCCCCAUUUCUCUGUGCUGGGGUGUCCCCUUCCUGACCCCCUGGGAAUGUGGGGGGUCUCCCAGGAAGGGGGGAGGCAGCUCCCAGCAGGUUCAUUCCAAGGGGAACCCGCUGGCUCUGGCUGGCCUGGGGUCUGUUAAUGAUUAAAGCCCCCCUGGCACUGUUUAAUCCGGGGCAGGGGCUGCCCGUGGGAAGCCCAGGCUGGCCCCACAGCCACAGGGGGGGUCACAUCCCCCCUCCCCAUUCCCAGCUCCUGCUUCCUGCCUGGAAUGUCCCUGCCCGUGGCCGCGGGGCGGGGGGUCCCCUAUUUAUUCUAUACUGUGUAUAAACCCAACAGCUGGGUGGAAUAAAGGAUGGAGAAUGUG